rnacentral:lncRNA from 1 species
GAAUCGUAGAGGUAUUUGUGUAAAUAGGUAUAAUCCAUCUAAUCACAGAAACUAACAAAAUAAAAGAAUUUAUGAGAAUAACUAUAAGUAUACGAAAGAAAAAGAACCCUUUUUUGUAAUUCUUAUGAUGCAAUUGGAGCUUAUCAGUAGAAACGAAUCAAUUUAGAUAGUCAUUUGUGGCUCCGGUGGCGGCUAGAUCAACGCGGUAUUGCUGCAAGAGAAGCUCCUCUCGAAGUUCACUAUGAAUCUUUGGGUACCUAUUAUGAUAUUUAUGGGAAAUAUCUAAUAGUAUGAAGUAUAAAAAAACAACACCAUCCAUUUUGGGUCUAUAUUUGUUCGAAUAAAAUGCUUCGUUAAUUCAAUAGGUCUGACCGAAAAAUCCUUUCGUCUUCCAACUUUCUGAUCUUCCCACUCAUUCUAUGUGGGACCGUCUUCCCCCAACUCUUUCCAUUCUACCAAUGAAGAAUCUAUAAUAAUCCAUAAAUCGAGAUCGGCUAAUUGUUCUCGGAUAGCACCUACUCCAGUAGAGAUCUCUCGAUUCCGAAAUGUAUCAAAGCCUUGGGUAGUAAAAAAAAGUGGGAUGCUAUAUUUCCAGGAUUGGAUUUCAUAUUUGAACAAACCUCGUAAUCGUGAAAAAGUGGGUUUGUUAGCUAUGCGCCUAGCAAAAGAAAAAUCGGGAUAGAAUCCGAUAUAGGAUAUCCCCCCCUUCAGAACCGGGCGUGUGAAACCCUUUUUUUGUAAUUCUUAUGAUGCAAUUGGAGCUUAUCAGUAGAAACGAAUCAAUUUAGUGGCCGUUUGGGCAAGCUUAAAAAAAGUGAUUCCAUGCUUAAAGUAAAGAAGUGGAUUAGAAAUGAGAAGUAAAUAAGUUAAUAAAGUGUUUGGAAAAGAAGUAGAAGCUGUGAGAGAGAAGCUAGCAUUCUCAGCUUUAUAGAAGUGCUUCUGCUUCUUUACAUAAACGGGUCAAGAAAAGUAGAAGCCAGAAGUGGCUUCUACUUCCUCUAAACAAACACCCCCUUAGAUAGUCAUUUGUGGCUCCGGUGGCGGCUAAAUCAACGCGUUAUUGCUGCAAGAGAAGCUCCUCUCGAAGUACACUAUGAAUCUUUGGGUACCUAUUAUGAUAUUUAUG